AACCAAUCGACUUUUUAUUAAGUCGUAAUAAAUUGAUGAAUUCUGAGUAACUACUUUAUUAGCGAACCGCAUGAUCUCGUAUCGGCGGUCUGUCGGUCAAGCAACUGCCUUAUCAGCUUGUCAUUAGGUUACAUGCCUAACGAGGCGUCAACGGGUAACGAACGAUUGGGGUCUGACAUCGGAGAGGGAGCCUGAGAAACGGCUACCACAUCUAAGGAAGGCAGCAGGCGCGCAAAUUACCCACUCCCGGCACGGGGAGGUAGUGACGAGAAAUAACGACGCGGGGCCCUCAUGGGCACUCGUAAUCGGAAUGAGUACACUUUAAAUCCUUUAACGAGGAUCUAUUGGAGGGCAAGUCUGGUGCCAGCAGCCGCGGUAAUUCCAGCUCCAAUAGCGUAUAUUAAUGCUGCUGCGGUUAAAAAGCUCGUAGUUGGAUCUGGGUCUACGGCGAGCAGCCACAUAGUAUUGAAUGCUAUGUGUGAUUUGCUAGACGCGUCGUAAAAGUGCGUUAUACUCACAGUGUAUCGUACUGACGUAGCCCGUGCGUGUUUGUAUUGGUAUAUUCUCAUCUUUAUA
rnacentral:rRNA from 1 species